GUAGGGGGCAAGCGUUGCCCGGAAUCACUGGGCGUAAAGCGGGUGUAGGCGGUCCUUUAAGUCGGAUGUGAAAUCCUACGGCUCAACCGUGGAACUGCAUCCGAUACUGGAGGACUUGAGGACGGUAGAGGUCGGUGGAAUCCCCGGUGUACCGGUGAAAUGGGCAGAUAUCGGGGGGAACACCAGUGGCGAAGGCGGCCGACUGGGCCGAUCCUGACGCUGAGACCCGAAAGCCAGGGUAGCGAACCGGAUUAGAUACCCGGGUAGUCCUGGCCGUAAACGGUGCGAACUAGGUGUGGGGGGCCUCACGGCCUCCGUGCCGAAGCUAACGCAUUAAGUUCGCCGCCUGGGGAGUACGGCCGCAAGGCUA
rnacentral:rRNA from 1 species